rnacentral:rRNA from 1 species
UACGUAGGGUGCGAGCGUUAAUCGGAAUUACUGGGCGUAAAGCGUGCGCAGGCGGUCUGUUAAGACCGAUGUGAAAUCCCCGGGCUUUAACCUGGGAACUGCAUUGGUGACUGGCAGGCUUUGAGUGUGGCAGAGGGAGGUAGAAUUCCACGUGUAGCAGUGAAAUGCGUAGAGAUGUGGAGGAAUACCGAUGGCGAAGGCAGCCUCCUGGGCCAACACUGACGCUCAUGCACGAAAGCGUGGGGAGCAAACAGG